rnacentral:ncRNA from 2 species
GUGCGUCUUCAGGGCGGGGCGAAAUUCCCCACCGGCGGUAUGCCGGCAACGCGAAAGCGUGAGCCGACGAGCCCGCGAGCGCCCGCAUCGUGCGGUCUUCCGGUUAGUGGAAACCGCAGCGGGGUCAGCAGAUCUGGUGAGAGGCCAGAGCCGACGGUUACAGUCCGGAUGGAAGAAGAUGUGC